UUUCUCUCCGUUGCUUUCUUUCUUACAACCUAUCUUAGUUUUAGGACAAGAUUUUAGGAUUUAAGAUAAUGCCUUAUCUGAUCCUAACAAGGGUUGUGAGAGUCCUAAAGAAGGAGAAUCAAAAGUUUAGAGGAGGAUCUUAGAGGGUUGAGUCAGGUUCUUGAGGAAACCUGACCGGUAUGGGGCUAGUCGAGUUCUAAGGGUAAAGGCUAGAAUCUUGAAGCA
rnacentral:lncRNA from 1 species